ACUCUUGCUCUGCACUCUGGAACGACCGCGUCGGUAGUCCGCUGAUCGCGUUUCGGGCUCCGUCAAGUUAAAUCAAAGCUGACGCCGAGCAACAGUACUAAGAUGUAGUCCGAUCAGAAAAGGGAUGUUUCCCUAUUUACCUUUUGGUUUUUUAUUUUAGUCAUCUCAGUAUAGCCUCUACGUAGUAAUCCUAGUUUCUCCGCGAACCAAAUUUCUUGUCUGGUGCCGCAUAUAUUUUUUUCUUUUAACCGCGACAUCGGCCGCGCAUCGCCCUCCAUCUUCCGACCAGGCAACAUGGCUGUGCCUAACAACAACUACUACCCUGUUUUGACAGGGUCCUAGUCCCCCCCCCCCCCCCCCGAAGAGAAAGAAACCAUCAUGGGGAACUAAGGAAGCCCGGCGACCUCCAAUUUUGAAUUGGUGGUUUCGCCAGUGGAAGCUCUCACCCCCGGACUUUUCGCCAUCAGCUACGAACCGCCAGGAAAUCUUCAGUUCGUGAGAGCGAGUGCCAGUGAAAGUUUUAUUUUGUAAAUUUCCAAAUGUAAUUUCAGAAAUCAGAUUCGAACCAGUUUAACAGCUUUGGUCUCUUCAGCCAUCUCGAAAUUGUAUAUGUGAAAUUUUUAUAAUUAACCAAUGAUAAGCUAAUAUGGUGAUUACAGAUUAUUGUAAAAUGUUAAAACUUUACGGUUUCUUUAAGAAUGAUGUGUUGGAAAAAUAAUUUUCUAUUCGCGGCCCGGGUCGGCAAAUGAUUAGGUAGACUGAGCUCUCUUUAAUAAUGGUUAAAUGAUAGAAGUGUUUUCUCUUUAUAGCUUGUAACAGAAAAUCUUGAAAACAAACUUUGACCUUAAAUAAAAGGAUGCCUAUAAACG